GACAGAGGGGGCAAGCGUUGCUCGGAAUCACUGGGCGUAAAGGGUGCGUAGGCGGGUCUUUAAGUCAGGGGUGAAAUCCUGGAGCUCAACUCCAGAACUGCCUUUGAUACUGAAGAUCUUGAGUUCGGGAGAGGUGAGUGGAACUGCGAGUGUAGAGGUGAAAUGCGCAGAUAUCAGGAAGAACACCCGUGGCGAAGGCGGCUCUCUGGAACGCAACUGACGCUGAGACGCGAAAGCGUGGGGAGCAAACAGG
rnacentral:rRNA from 1 species